rnacentral:rRNA from 1 species
UGGUGGAGUGAUUUGUCUGGUUAAUUCCGUUAACGAACGAGACCUCGACCUGCUAAAUAGUUCUAGUCAUCGUGAGAUGGCUGGAUACUUCUUAGAGGGACUAUCGGUGGUUAGCCGAUGGAAGUUCGAGGCAAUAACA